rnacentral:rRNA from 1 species
UACGAAGGGGGCUAGCGUUGUUCGGAUUUACUGGGCGUAAAGCGCACGUAGGCGGAUCGUUAAGUCGGGGGGUGAAAUCCUGGAGCUCAACUCCAGAACUGCCUUCGAUACUGGCGAUCUUGAGUCCGGAGGAGGUGAGUGGAACUCCUAGUGUAGAGGUGGAAUUCGUAGAUAUUAGGAAGAACACCAGUGGCGAAGGCGGCUCACUGGUCCGGUACUGACGCUGAGGUGCGAAAGCGUGGGGAGCAAACAGG